ACAAAGUCCACUCACCCUUUCAGCUGCUCCUGGGGUUCACCGUACUCAGCAGAAUAGGGGUGGUUACAUCCAUACCUAGAGGUGGUACGAGGGUGUCACAUGUAAUGAACUGUGGACACCACUUGCUUAAGAUGUCUAGUGUUCCUGUCUGACUGUCAGAACAGAACAGAGUCGUAGGAGGGCAGGGCCUCCUAUCUGCUUUGUUCACUGAACAAUGCUAAAUACCUAGAACAGUGUCUGCAAGAGUAGGGGCUUGCUUCAUGGAUGAUUGUUGAAUGAGUGAACCCAACCAGCACCUUCCCAGGCAUCUGAGAGUCCUGGGGCCCCUCUACCAGCCUCCAGGUACCCCUGUUCUGAGUAUACCAAGGACAAGGACCCACUAAAUGGAAUCUCCAGCUUCCCUUUACAAAUGGGAAGUAGGUUUGCUCAAGGUCACGUAGUCAGUGAGGGUUGAGGAAGACAGCUGCUUCAUGGGCGAGAGGAAAAUAAUAAAUGUGAACAUCCCAGCCCCUCCAACACCGUUUGCCAUAGAGCUCUGCUCCAGGUACGUACUUCCUGUGGCUUAUCCCAUGUGGUCCUGACAGUAAUUCUAGCUGAUUGGACCUUUACCACCCUACUUUUCAGGGGAGAAAACUGAGGCUCUUUGUGGUGAUGCGACAUUCUCCAGAUGCAGAACUGGUAGGGGGUAGAAUCCCCAUUAGGCUGUGAAGGGCUCACCUUUGGAGCAGCUGGUCUAGGACUUGCUGGGUGGUGGCGUAGGUUCUGUAGGCUCCCAGAAAGAUUUUGAUGUAGGAGAUGUCACCCUUUAGGUAGGCGGGCACCAGGAGCUCCACCAGCUUAUCCAGUGAGCCUGCCUUGAAGGUUUUCAUCACCCAGGCCUCCUCCAGGUCCUCCUCAGAACCACAGACACACUGGAGUGGGACAGAGGAGGGACAUACUGUCAGAGUCAGCCACGUGAACCACCAGGAGGGUUGGAGGCCCGGAGCUCAGACCAGGUACUCCAUCUCCCUCAGUGACCUGUGGUAGAAGGUGGGACACGAGUGCCUUGAGUAGGAAACAGGACUUGGCUUUCCAAGCAGGAUUGGAGGUGGGGGCUGAUUACAAACAUUAGGGACCUGAAGUGAUUUCGUUAACGAAGUAACCAUGCUAUCUCCCUGAAGGAAGAGCAGUAUCCCAGGGAGUCCUCACAAAACACCCCAUUCCAGAGAUGUGAAAACAGAGGCUUGGUGAUAUCUGUUGUCUGCUUGAAGUCACCUGGUCAGAGCCCAGAACUGUCUGAUACUAGGGCUCCGUGAUGUUCCCUCUGUGCUAGGUGAGGCCUGCUCUGUUCUGACUCAGAGGGGAAGGUCUGGUGCAAGCUCACUUCCUCCCGGCUGAAGACAGUGCACAGAGCAGACACACCCAUGAGAUAAGGAAGACACAGAUUUUUCUUUCCGCACAUUAAAGGGGAUUUUGAGAACCUGAAGCUGUGGAGCACCCAGAUCCAGCCAAGUGUGAGAGCCUGGAGAUCCUGGGGUGGGAGAAAGACCCCUACAGAACCGAGGACCUUACCAGAUGGCUCAGGGAGGACAAAUGUGAAUGGUUGGUAAAGGCCUGAGAGGUGGCUCAGCUUCUCAGGGCCAACAGGUGCCUGAGAGCCACCCAGCAGCUCUGUUGGCCACCCUGACAGCAGAUUGGCAAAACGGAAAAGAGCCUUCACAUCUGGACCAGGCUCACUGCAGAGACGUAGCCAGCAUCACAAACUGCUGGGCCCCGGGACUGUGACUGCUAUUUUGGGCAGGAGUCUGGCUCUAAUGAUCCUAACUUGAAACGUGUACAUCCUUCCCCCCAGCAUGCCACUCCUGGGAAUCUGUCCUGGGUGGGACAGAGUAUGAGAACACAUGUAAGCGUUCCUGCAGCUUUGCUGAAAGGGCAGCAGAAGGAAUGAGUCCAGGGCCAGCAGCAACGAGAGGCUCAGUCACUGUGGGGACAGGCCUCCCUUCUGGAACAUUCUGUAUGGAGUCAGGAUACAGCCCCUGACCUGAAGGGGUCACGUGAUGUAUUUCCCCAAGAUUGGAGGUUAUAGAAAAAGGAAGGAGCUGUGACGUAUGACCUGCCCAUGGAGAGACUCAUGUGACAAAGACCUGAUUGGAGGGUCUUGAUCAACAGACAGAGAGGAAGUGAGGCCCCCCAGACCAACAGCUUCCAGAGUCCUGCUCAUAACAUGGAAGUAAGUAGGGAGCAGAUCCUCCCCGGUCAAGACUCAGUUGAGCCCACAACCACAGGGUCCUGAGAACUUGGGGCAGUCACCAGGUCUUUGGUGUAAGGGGGACCUCCGGAAACAUCUGAAUACUCUGCGAUCUUGGCCCCGCCUCACCCCAGAGCAACCUUAAAAAUGUUUUAGAGAUGACAAGGCUGUUGUCAGCGUGGGUCCCUGGAUGACUGCAUUGAGGAGGCCCACUGCAGUGACGGAUCUUUCACCUGUCCAGUAUCUGUACAGGAGCCACAAUUGGUGAUCAAUGGAUCGUGGUCUAGCAUGCAGAAGUGAGUGAGUGGAGAAAAGCAGCAGAGCUGGUGGGUUGUGAAGACAUGUGUUUGAAGGCUGCCACACUCUCUACUCCAGGGAGAAGCUGCGAAUGUUUGCCAGGGAGGAAAGGCACACUUGUGCACCUCACUGCAAAAGCUUGUCUGCUCAGGUGAAAAAUCCUGGGCUCACUGGGAGGUAAGAAAGAAGCUGAAACUGAAAGGCUGCUUUGGUGCCCCCAGGUCAUCUGGAAAAGUGUCCACACAGUUCAGGUUUGAGGGGUGAUUUGCUGUGAGGUGGAGAAAUGGGACAAGAAUGCAUUUCCCUGCCUCCCCUGCCUUGGGGCCCUGCCUGGCCUGGGCCCUAGUGAGUUCUCAGUGCACAGCCUCUGAGAAGAGACAGGCAACCUAAGGCCGGAAAAAACUGGCAGAGGCUGGGCUCUGAGGGGAGUAGUGAUGGUGAAAAGUUGAUUGCAUUAAUAGCCUUGCUUACUCCCUAGAGCUAUAACCCAACCUAAGCUGUAACCCCACCCAUUGCUGUUGAGUCAAUUCCAACUGAUAGCGACCCUAUAGCACAGAGGAGAGCUGCCUCAUAGUGUUCCCAAGGAGUGACUGGUGGAUUUGAACUGCAGAACUUUUAAUUAGCAGCUUAUCUGUUAACUGCUUUGCCACCAGGGCUCCACUCCCUAGAGCAGGGGCAGGGCGAGGGCAGUUAAUUUUACUUGAUUCAUGGACCCCUCUGGCAUUCUAGUGGAGCCUGUGGACCCCUUUUCAAAUUAAAAAUUUUAAGUACAUAAAACAUAAUGUAUAAUAUUAUAUUAAAAUACAGCUUUCAAAAUAUUUAAAGUAUUAUAAUAUGGUAGUAAAUGUGGUUGAAAUAUGAAGAUCUAGUAACAGAUUGAUGACUGCAAUAAUUUUGAAAUAAUGAUGAUCAUAAGCGGUACUUCCAGAUAUCUGCAAUAACUGUAACCUUGUAUGAGAAUAUCUGUGAUUUCUGUGGGUGACAGUUACAAUUCCUGCUAACACUCCUGUGAUUUGUUACCUACAUUCAUUACGGAAGGUAAUACAAAAUUUCAGUUAGAGGUUAGUGCGAAUACGAUUUUUGUCUUCCAAGUUUAUAAACCUUGGAAACCCUAUGAGGCAGUUCUACUCUGUCCUAUACGGCUGUUAUGAGUCAGAAUCGACUCGACGGCACACAACAACAAGAAGCCCUUGUUUAGUAUCGUUUACCGAUGGCAUAAACUGGAUUUAAAAAUAUACAUCCAAGGUUAUUAAUAAAUAUUUCCCUAGCUUCAAAAGACUUAUACAACCAUUAAAAAUGAUUCUUAUGAAAAAUUAUUCUUAAGGGCAAUUGACAUAAAAAAUAUUUUAAUGGCUCUUUACAAUAGUUGAGUUGAGAUAUGAAGAGAUAUUCAUCCUUCUAGUCAUUCUUCUGUUUAUCUAUUAAGAGCGUUCUGGGUUGGAACCAGCUUGAUGGCAGCGGGUUUGGUUUGUUUGGUUUUUUUUUUUUUUUAACGCAGAAAUUAGGGACGAAACCUUCCACUGUAAUUAUAACAAGUUUAGCUGGUGGCAGACAGCUAGCAGCUCCCCAAAGAUUUGUUCUAUCCUUCCAUAGAGUAGAGUUGUCCCUGGGAAGUUGCUGCCAAGCCAAGGACUGUAUGUCCUACCCCUGCAUUUAGGUGGAGGUGAUAAGAUGAGCUCUCAGGAGUGGAAUGUGAGCAUAAAUGAUGGAUGCCUCUUUCAGGCCAAGGCUUUGAAGAAGCACACGUGCCUUCCUCACCCUCUUUUCAUCUGUCUGCCAGAUGAAUAUUGAAGAAGUCAGCCUGGGUGCCGGAAUGACUCACAGAACAAAGUGCCCCCCAGUCCCCUUCCACAGUUUUUAAGACCCGUUUUGGACACCACAGGAUUGCGUGAUAAGCUUCUAUUGUGCUAAACUCUUGAGAUUUUGGGGUUUGUCUGUUAUAGCGUGUUUUUUUCCUUAACUAAUAUGAGAGGCAUCAGUUAGGGAUUUUGCAUGGGGGCCCUUCUUUCCCUACCCAUCAUGGAUGGUAUGGCAGGUAUUGCAAACUGACUCACUCAACUCCAUUCCAACCCCUUUGUAGUGGGAAAGCUAAAUGGGAGGAAGUCAAAGAUAUUUCCUCAUUUCCCAGACACCCAUUUAUAGUUCAGGCUUCACAUGAGAUAUACAUUGUUCCAUGGGUGUACUUGUGUGUGAGUUAGGAGGCAGAAAUGAACAUAAUGAGGUAGAGGUCAUGCUCCUACUAUUUCUACUGUUUCUUCUAUCAACCAUGUUUGUGAGGCUACAAAUAUAGGAACGUAUUUUUUCACCUAACAAUAAAUUUGAAGGAAGUCAGAUACUGGUGUUGCUUCAUGAGUUCAACAGUGUCAGGGUCAGCAUCUGUGCAAUUCUUUUGGAUGUUCCCUCGUGGUUGCAAGGCCAUUGCUGCAGCUCCACCCAUCACGUCUGUAUUUCAGGCAGGGAAAAAAAACAAGUAGAAACGGGGAACAGCAAUGCCAACUGCUUCUUUUUAUCAGAAAGGCAAAAGCUUUCCCAGAAGCCUUCACAACAACUUACCUGUAGGUCUCACUGUCCAAAACUGGGUACAUUGCCACCCGAACAAAAUUAGGGUUCUGUUGGCAUGCAAGAGGGAAGGAUACCUAUAGGGUACCCUAAAACAUACAAGUCAUGGUCACUGUUCUCAAGGACCUGGUAAUGGCUUUGUAGAAACAAAAUAUAUGCAUGUACAUUUGAAUAAUAAUACCAGAGUUAAGAAAAGCUAUAAGACAAUAAUGUAAGUUACAGGGCAGACAUUUUAGAGGAGAUGGGAAUUGUAGGGGCCUAAUCUAUCCCACCUCAUUUUCAGGAGGGCUGGUGUGAAGAAGCAUGCAUCUCAGCUGAACUCUGUGGGUAGCCUCUUGCUUGCCCAUGGUGCCAUGCUAGCAUCACCUGCCAGAGUAAACCAGUGUUCUGAGCGAGCAUCCAGAUGAAGUGCCCUUGGCAGGAUUGAUGAGCAGGAAGUGGUGAACUUGACCUGGUCCUGGGAGGAUGAGAAGAUACUACAGGGACCGAGGAAAGGGUCCUGAACACAACUCCAGAAGUUUUGAAUCCACUGUGAUGUAUGACCUGCACAUGGAAAGACUCAUGUGACAAAGAGCUGAGGGAGGAUCCUGAUCAACAAAGAGGAAAUGAAGCCCCUAAGUCCAGCAGCUCUCAGAGUCCUGCUCAUAACAUGGAAGUGAGUAGGGAGCAGAUCUCCCGAAUCAAGACUCAGUUGAGACAACCACCACAGGCUCCUGAGAACUUGGGGCAGUUCCCAGAUUGUGAGCUCCUUGGGACAGGGACCACAUGGGUGAUUUUCAGAACCAGCUCCUGGACCACCUGCUGAUGUCGAUCCUGCUCCUGCUGAACAUAAGAGCUCUAUAGAGCACCAGGUCCUCCAUCUCCAGCUCUGCCUCGGUCACCAGAGGUUGAGUCAUUUGCCGCACCUCCUCCACAGCCACCCCUCAUUCACAGCUAGGAAACUUCAGCUCCAGAACCAGACCCUUUCUUCAGCUCACCUGAGUGGGAAUUUUUUUGGUUUUGUCGUAGUAUUUUUCCAGGUCAUUUUAUACUUUAUGGUUUAUACCAUUUUAACAGGUAGAUUUCUCAUAGAAUAAAAUGUUUUAAUAGUUUUAAAGUGUGUAGUAUAGUGGCUUUAUGUACUUUUACAGUCUUAUUCAACCAUCAUCAGUAUCUACUUCAGAACAUUUUCAUCACCACUGUAAUGGUUAAUGUUAUGUGUCAAUUUGGUUAAGCCAUGAUUCUCAGGGGUUUGGCAGAAAUUAUGUAAUCAGCUUCCAUUUUGUGAUCUGACGUGAGCAGCCAAUCAGUUGGAAGAGGAGUUUCCUUGGAGGAGUGAACUGCAAAUUCACACAUCUCCUGGUACCUGGUAUGCAGCCAUUAAUCUGGCUAAUGCCUUUUUCUUCAUCCUCGUUUUGAAGAACAGGCCCCUCUCGGUGAAUCACAGCACUGAUCUGUAGGAUUUUGGAGCAGAGCCCUACCAUCCUCUGCAGAUAACUACUCUCCUUUUGAGAAACAGCUUUUGGCUUGUUACUGGGCCUUAGUAGAGACUGAACACUUAACCAUGGGCCACCGAGUCAGCAUGUGGCCUGAGCUUCCCAUUAUGAACUGGAUGUUGUUUGACCCACAGAGUCAUAAAGUUGGACUUGCCCAGCAGCACUCCAUCAUUAAUUGAAGUGAUAUAUACAAGGUCGGGCCUGAGCAGGAUGUGAGGGUCCAAGUAAGUUGCAUGAGGAAAUGGCCCAAAUGGCCAUGGUCUUCACUCCUGUCACAUACCUUUCAUUUCCCAGUCUGCACCUAUGGCCUCAUGGGGAGCUCCUUAUGAUCAGGUGACUGAAGAUGAGAAAACUCGUGCCUUGUUUACAGAUGGUUCUGUGCAAUAUGCAGGCACUAGUUGAAAAUGGAGAGCAGCAGCACUACAGCCCCUUCCUGGGACCUCCCUGAAGGACAGUGGUGAAGGGAAAUCCUCCCAAGGAGGGGGCAGAACUUCGAGCAGUGCACCUGGGUGUUCACUUUGCCUGGAAGGAGAAAUGGCCAGAUGUGCGAUUGUAUGUGUACUGAUCCAUGGGCUGUGGCCAGUGGUUUAGCUGGAUUAUCCAGGACUUGGAAGGACACGAUUGGGAAACUGGAGACAAGGAUUUAUGGGGAAGAGAGGUAUGUGGAUAAACCUCUUUGGAUGGGCCAAAGAAGUGAAGAUAUUUGUGUCUCGUAUGAACCCUCACUAAAGACUGAACUUAGCAGACGAAGACUUUAACAAUCAAGUGGAUAGGAUGACGUGUUCUGUGGAAACCACUCGUCCUCCUUUCCCAGGUACUCCCAUCAUUGCUCAUGAACAAAGUGGCCAUGAUGGCAGGGAUGGAAGUUAUGCAUGGGCCUAGCAACAUGGACUUCUACUCAUCAAGGCCACCUUGGUGACAGCCACUGUUAAGUGUCCAAUCUGCCAGCAGCAGAGACCAACCCUGAGUCCCCGAUAUGGCCCCAUCCCUCAAAGUGAUCAUCCAGCAACCUGGUGGCAAGCUGAUUACAUUGGACCACUUCCAUCAUGGAAAGGGCAACAUUUCUUACGGGAAUAGACGUUUACUCUGAAUAUGGAUUUACCUUCCCUGCAUGCAAUGCUUCUGCCAUAACUACCACCCAUGCACUUAGAUAAUGCCUUAUCCACCAUCACAGUAUCCCACGUGUAUUUCUUUGAAUCAAGGGACUUCCUUCACAGCAAGUGAAAUGCAGCAGUGGGCCCAUGCUCCUGGAAUUCACUGGUCUUACAAUGUUCCCCAUCAUGCUGAAGUAGCUGGUUUGAUAGAAUGAUGGAAUGGAUUCCUAAAGACACAACUACAGUGCCAGCUAGGUAGCAGUACCUUGCAGGGUUGGGGCAGUGUUCACCUAGAGGCUGUAUAUGCUCUAAAGCAGCAUCCAGUAUACAGUGUUGUAUCUCCCAUAGCCAGGAUUCAUGGGUCCAAGAAUCAAGGGGUGGAAAAGGGAGUACCACCACUCACUAUUACCCCUAGUGACCCACUCACAAGAUUUUUUGUCUCCUGUAUCCUAGCUUCUUUGCUUGUUUUGUUUUGAUAUGCUCAGAUGGGUUGCUUGAGUGAGCUAGCUGGAUUAUUUUCGCCUUUGAAGCUCUGCUGUCCUGUCACCAGAUGGCUAGAGCUGUUAUCAGAUAUAACAGUCUAGGAGUCCAUUCACUUUUCUUGUAUGGGUUCAGCUCAGGUAUCCAGGUAGCUCAUCAUGUAGUGUGUGGUACAAGCUCUGUCCUACAAUCUUAGAGGGUCAGAGGUGAUUGUUGCAGGUACUGGUAUCUGGUUCCAGUAGGGAGUCAUGCUGUGAACAAGGCAGGGGACUGAGAAAAGUCCCGCAAGUGUCUGUGAGGAAAGCACGUCCCUGUUCCCUAGAGCGUACAGGUGGGUAGGAUCUGCAGAUGGACCAUGGGCCCCAAUGCUUUUGGUUGUAAGGACUGGGAGG